rnacentral:rRNA from 1 species
UACGGGGGGGGCAAGCGUUGUUCGGAAUUACUGGGCGUAAAGGGCUCGUAGGUGGCCAACUAAGUCAGACGUGAAAUCCCUCGGCUUAACCGGGGAACUGCGUCUGAUACUGGAUGGCUAGAGAUUGGGAGAGGGAUGCGGAAUUCCAGGUGUAGCGGUGAAAUGCGCAGAUAUCAGGAGGAACACCGGUGGCGAAGGCGGGUCUCUGGGCCGAUACUGACGCUGAGGAGCGAAAGCGUGGGGAGCGAACAGG